rnacentral:rRNA from 1 species
GACGAACGCUGGCGGUGUGCUUAACACAUGCAAGUCGAACGGUAAGGCCCUUUCGGGGGUACACGAGUGGCGAACGGGUGAGUAACACGUGAGUAACCUGCCCUCAUCUCUGGGAUAACAGUCGGAAACGGUUGCUAAUACUGGAUAUGAGCUUGCAAGGCAUCUUGUGGGUUGGAAAGAUUUUUUUGGUUGGGGAUGGACUCGCGGCCUAUCAGCUUGUUGGUGAGGUAGUGGCUCACCAAGGCUUCGACGGGUGGCCGGCCUGAGAGGGCGACCGGCCACAUUGGGACUGAGAUACGGCCCAAACUCCUACGGGAGGCAGCAGUGGGGAAUAUUGCACAAUGGACGGAAGUCUGAUGCAGCAACGCCGCGUGCGGGAUGACGGCCUUCGGGUUGUAAACCGCUUUCAAUUGUGACGAAGCUUUUUGUGACGGUAGCAGUAGAAGAAGCACCGGCUAACUACGUG